CUACGGGUUGCAGCAGUGGGGAAUAUUGCACAAUGGAGGAAACUCUGAUGCAGCAACGCCGCGUGGAGGAUGACACUUUUCGGAGCGUAAACUCCUUUUAUAUAGGAAGAAGAUGACGGUACUAUAUGAAUAAGCGCCGGCUAACUCCGUGCCAGCAGCCGCGGUAAUACGGAGGGCGCAAGCGUUACUCGGAAUCACUGGGCGUAAAGAGCGUGUAGGCGGAUUAAAAAGUCAGAAGUGAAAUCCUAUAGCUUAACUAUAGAACUGCUUCUGAAACUCUUAAUCUAGAAUAUGGGAGAGGUAGAUGGAAUUUCUGGUGUAGGGGUAAAAUCCGUAGAGAUCAGAAGGAAUACCGAUUGCGAAGGCGAUCUACUAGAACAUUAUUGACGCUGAGACGCGAAAGCGUGGGGAGCAAACAGGAUUAGAUACCCUUGUAGUC
rnacentral:rRNA from 1 species